rnacentral:SRP_RNA from 1 species
GCUGGGCGUGGUGGCGCAUGCCUGUAAUCUCAGCUACUUGGGAGGCUGAGGCAGGAGAAUCGCUUGAACCCGGGAGGUGGAGGUUGCAGUGGGCUGAGAUUGUGCCACUGCACUCCAGCCUGGGUGAGACAGCAAGAUUUUGUCUCAA